rnacentral:rRNA from 1 species
AGAGUUUGAUCCUGGCUCAGGAUGAACGCUGGCGGCGUGCUUAACACAUGCAAGUCGAACGGGAAUGUUUCGCUGAUGCGAUUUCGGUCAAAUCUUGAAGCAUUUUAGUGGCGGACGGGUGAGUAACGCGUGGGUAACCUGCCCUGUACAGGGGGACAACAGUUGGAAACGACUGCUAAUACCGCAUAAGCGCACAGCUUCGCAUGAAGCAGUGUGAAAAACUCCGGUGGUACAGGAUGGACCCGCGUCUGAUUAGAUAGUUGGUGAGGUAACGGCCCACCAAGUCAACGAUCAGUAGCCGGCCUGAGAGGGCGAACGGCCACAUUGGGACUGAGACACGGCCCAAACUCCUACGGGAGGCAGCAGUGGGGAAUAUUGCACAAUGGGGGAAACCCUGAUGCAGCGACGCCGCGUGAGUGAAGAAGUAUUUCGGUAUGUAAAGCUCUAUCAGCAGGGAAGAAAACAAUGACGGUACCUGACUAAGAAGCCCCGGCUAACUACGUGCCAGCAGCCGCGGUAAUACGUAGGGGGCAAGCGUUAUCCGGAUUUACUGGGUGUAAAGGGAGCGUAGACGGUAGACCAAGUCUGAAGUGAAAGCCCGGGGCUCAACCCCGGAACUGCUUUGGAAACUGGUAAACUAGAGUGCAGGAGAGGUAAGUGGAAUUCCUAGUGUAGCGGUGAAAUGCGUAGAUAUUAGGAGGAACACCAGUGGCGAAGGCGGCUUACUGGACGGUAACUGACGUUGAGGCUCGAAAGCGUGGGGAGCAAACAGGAUUAGAUACCCUGGUAGUCCACGCGGUAAACGAUGAAUGCUAGGUGUCGGGUGACGAAGUCAUUCGGUGCCGCCGCAAACGCAUUAAGCAUUCCACCUGGGGAGUACGUUCGCAAGAAUGAAACUCAAAGGAAUUGACGGGGGCCCGCACAAGCAGUGGAGUAUGUGGUUUAAUUCGACGCAACGCGAAGAACCUUACCAAGUCUUGACAUCCUGCGACGGUGCUGGAAACAGUACUUUCCUUCGGGGCGCAGAGACAGGUGGUGCAUGGUUGUCGUCAGCUCGUGUCGUGAGAUGUUGGGUUAAGUCCCGCAACGAGCGCAACCCUUAUGGUCAGUUACUACGCAAGAGGACUCUGGCCAGACUGCCGUUGACAAAACGGAGGAAGGUGGGGAUGACGUCAAAUCAUCAUGCCCUUUAUGACUUGGGCUACACACGUACUACAAUGGCGUUAAACAAAGAGAAGCAAGACCGCGAGGUGGAGCAAAACUCAGAAACAACGUCCCAGUUCGGACUGCAGGCUGCAACUCGCCUGCACGAAGUCGGAAUCGCUAGUAAUCGCGAAUCAGAAUGUCGCGGUGAAUACGUUCCCGGGUCUUGCACACACCGCCCGUCA